CUCAGUUUUUGAUAUCUACAAGGUCAAAAUUGGUUUAUUCCACUAUGCAAUGCAACACUCUUACCUAAUGUUAUCCAUUUAUUCAUUCAUGUUACUAAUUUCUCAUUCUUACACCCUGCAGCGCUACAACAGUACACAAGUCUUACACAAUGUGUUAUGGGUCACGUUCCUGCUUCUCCUCCUGCUGUGCGGACUGAGUGCAUGGCGGAGCACAUCAACAGGUGUUCUCUCUCCGCUGCGGGUGUGCCUCUGCAAGAGAUCUGCAAUCAACACACCUGCCCGUGAUGAGCAACCAGCCUUCAUAAUCCAGCGCGUCUUGAGAUCCGGUGCCAGAACGUAGUUUCUCCUACCAGUACACUUCCUCGUCGUCUACCUGGACCCACUUUGGAUUCCCUCUUGCCUUCCUGGACCAAGACCUCGCUCCUGCCCUCUGACGUCCAAGCCUUUUUCUUCUUUUGGACUUCCACCUCUAUCUCAACACGCACACUCAACACCCUCUGGUGACCACGCUCAGAUAAUACUUACACAUAGUCACACUCCAUCUCUUUAAGGUAAUCACACACUGCACUCACAUACUGAGUUGUCAAUAAACACGCUGGCAGCUAA